AGCAGCCGCGGUAAUUCCAGCUCCAAUAGCGUAUAUUAAAGUUGUUGCAGUUAAAAAGCUCGUAGUUGAAUUUCGGGAUCAAGGGGUCGGUCAUGCCUUGGUAUGUACUGGUCUUAUUGGUUCUCACCUUCUAAAGAACCAUGAUGUCAUUUAUUUGAUGUUAUGGGGAAUUAGGACUGUUACCUUGAAAAAAUUAGAGUGUUUAAAGACAAGCUUACGCUUGAAUACAUUAGCAUGGAAUAAUGAAAUAGGACAUCAGAUUCUAUUUUGUUGGUUUCUAGGAUCGAUGUAAUGAUUAAUAGGGAUAGUUGGGGGCAUUAGUAUUCAAUUGUCAGAGGUGAAAUUCUUGGAUUUUAUUGAAGACUAACUACUGCGAAAGCAAUUUGCCAAGGAUGUUUUCAUUUAAUCAAGAACGAAAGUUAGGGGAUCGAAGACGAUCAGAUACCGUCGUAGUCUUAACCAUAAACUAUGCCGACUAGGGAUCGGAUGAUGUUAAUUUUUUAAUGUACUCAUUCGGCUA
rnacentral:sRNA from 1 species